CUCGUAGGCGGUUUGUCGCGUCUGCCGUGAAAUCCACGGGCUCAACUCGUGAACUGCAUUUGAAACUACUCUUCUUGAGUAUCGGAGAGGCAAUCGGAAUUCCUAGUGUAGCGGUGAAAUGCGUAGAUAUUAGGAGGAACACCAGUGGCGAAGGCGGAUUGCUGGACGACAACUGACGCUGAGGCUCGAAAGCGCGGUAGCAAACA
rnacentral:rRNA from 1 species